UACGGAGGGUGCAAGCGUUGUCCGGAAUCACUGGGAGUAAAGGGCGCGUAGGCGGCUCAUGAAGGCUGUGGUGAAAGUCCGGGGCUCAACCUCGGAUCGGCCGUGGCGACUCGUGGGCUGGAGCACUGUAGAGGCGGGUGGAAUUCCGGGUGUAGCGGUGGAAUGCGUAGAGAUCCGGAAGAACACCAGUGGCGAAGGCGGCCCGCUGGGCAGUGGCUGACGCUGAGGCGCGACAGCGUGGGGAGCAAACAGG
rnacentral:rRNA from 1 species